CAAGAGACCCCACAGAGCUCAAUCCUUCUGCCAUGUGAGGACACAGCAAGUAUGUCACUUAUGAACAGGGAAGUGAGUUUUCAUUACACACCUGAUCUGAUGGCACCUGGUCUUGGACUUCUCGGCCUCCAGAACUGUGCACAGUUUUUCCUGGUACACCGUCUCAGAUGGCAGCAGAGCAGAGAAUGAGUUGGUGGUUGACCUCUCCUUGCGAAGAGACAUCUAACUGAUGAGAACUCAUUCAAAAGCUUGACAGAGAGAGACAGAUACGUAGAGCUGGAGAAAACCUCAGUGACAACUUCAUCUGGGCCAUCUCUUUGGAGUGAGCGCAAGGCCCUGUGUCUGUGCAGGAGAGCAGGACCAGAAGCCAGGGCCUCUCAAUUCCAGCUUGCUUGCUUUCUGCCACCUUCCUGGCCUCAGUGAAAAACAAGGCAAAUGUGCUAUUCGUAAGCCAGUGGCAUAGGUAGAUGACCUUUUGGGGAUGCGAGGAAUAGGGCCAACUGAGAGAAACAGGAUAUAUUUCAGAGAAUACCCCAAAGUGAGGUUAGAGCUACAUUUAGAAGAAGCUAGUUUUUUUUUUUUUUUUUUAAGAAGCUAAAUUUUUAGAACCUGCUCUGAGGCAUAGAUAUUUGGCACUAGAAGGAGGCCUUAGCAAUCAUGUCGUUCGUAACCCUCCCUGUAGUAUUGAGGAAACUUGAUGCCCAAAGAGGUAAAGCGAUUUUUGCACUUCCUUGAGAGGCAGCUUUAUAAAUAUAAUAUUUUAACUCCUUUCCCCAUUUUUAUUUAGCUUUUGGACCUCACUUUUCCUUCCCCUUCUUUUCUGUGACUUGACAAUUUUUUUUCAUUUUUUUUGAUUAUUUAUCAUUUACUGAACUUCUUCUACUUCUCCAUUUUUCCUGUCUUUUUAAAAAUGUAAAUCCAUAAAUAGCACCUUAGAUCUGAUCCCACAGACCCUUCCUAGAGAAGGUGAAUGAAGUCUUUGCCUCAUCCCCGCGAGCCACAUGGCUUGAAGCAAGAGCAUUUUGUGGCUCUGCCAUCCGCACAUUCCUGUUACAUUGGCCACCCUUCCUGGCCCUCCUGGCUACAGUGCAUUUUCAGAGCUUCCACCACUUCAUAAUAUUUAUUCCCCAGGUGUAUUUUUCUGAACAUUUUUUUUUCAUGCCAAAUUUCAGUUGAUUUCCUCUCCUUGUUUUCAAGGUCUUUUGCCUCCAGCUGCUGGAGACAAACACUAUUGUAAUCACAAUAGCAGGACUGAUUUAACUGAUAAUUGACAAAACAACCUGGAGUAAUCAUCACCUCCCUUUCAUGACUUCUCUAUUCAACAUUUCCUCUGCAGAAGUCAUGGAUUUGGCUAAAGCUUUCUUGUUCCAAACUGUCAAUAUCUGCAGCCUGUGCCAGCAUAGAGUAUGCAGAUAUCUAAAGGCAUUUCUGGGACUUCACUCACGCUCCUUGUUCCCACUACUGUUUCCACUUGCUUCUCAGGCAUUCCCCGUGCCCCUUGUAGUGACUUGAUGUGCUGGUUAUGGGCUCCAACAUUUCAAUAUUUAAGAUUCAAAAAGCUCCCAUGUGUUUAGUACCAAAAAGUCUAUUCUUCAGGCCUGUCUGCAGUAACAUUUGGACCAGCGAACCUCUGAUGAAAGGAGGGGAUGACUAAACUUUCAGGGGCUCUUGAUUAGUAUGGAGGGAGAUUAAAAUAAUCCAGGUAGCUCCUUUUUCAGCAGAGCUUCAUUGAGUUUAUGCACAUUAGCCCUGUGAAAUCCUCUAUCCAGUUUCACUUCUAGCCAGCCCUGUGGGAUCUUGUGCACCCAUCCCACCCAUGCCUACUUUGUGGGACAUGUUCCACUCACAGCCACCCCUGAAGAACCCUCUGCAGUUUCCUACCUAAGUCACUUUUGUGGGGCUCUCUGCCCUUUUCCUACUACGGCUAGUCAUCAACUCAAGACUGUAUCCAGCUGCUUGGAAUGAUUUUUUGGAAUGUAGAUUGCCUGAAGUGGCAUAUGAUGAUGAAUGUGCAUUUUUUGUUUAUUCUAAGUAUUAAUUGCUUCCCUCAGGUUGGCAACCUAAAAGUACAUUUAUCAUGGCUUUUCCUCUAUUUUAAGCUACAAAAGGACAUAGAUCAGAUAAACUAGGCACCAGUCAACACUAUUUUUUUCUCCAGGAAAAGGCAUUAUGAGUUCUCUAGAUUCUUCUUCUUCUUCUUCUUCUUUUUUUUUUUUUUUAAUUAGUUGACAGAGGGCAAAGCAUAUCCAUAGCAGAUCUGUACAGGGGAAGCAGUCAAUUUUAUCUAUCUCAAAUUAUCUUAAAACACAAAAUAUAUUCUCAAUGAGGUUCUCUGUUUCCCAAAGGGCUUAUUUCAGCGAUUCUAAGUUCAGGUCCUGUAUUUUCUCCAUCUCUAAAGAUUCCAUCCUGGGCUGAGUAAUUAGGGUGGUUUGUUGGAGAGGAUCUCCCCAGCCUACCCAGGGCCAUUUGUCUAAUGAAAAUGCUUUCCUAAAACUUAUUGUCAAGGCAAACCUGAAAAACAUGAGCUCUAUCUACAAACUAAUAUAGUCACAUUAACUUGCAGAUAUUAAUCUAAUAGAGCUAUCACACUGUUCUCCCCAAUUAAGCUAUUCUUUAGGUUAACUAAAAUCCCAUUUUCUUUUAUUGUUUCAUUAAUGACAAUAUUUCAAGACCCUUUACUAGCUGGUUUCUCUUUACUACAUGCAAUGCAGUUUGUCUAAAUCUGCCGUAAGCAUCUCUAUAAGUCAUAUUUAGUUUUACUUUUCUUUAAAAAGGAAACCUCUCAACUAAUAACGUUCUUUUACCUUCAAUAAGAAGUCUUCUAUUUCUGGGGAUCCCUGGGUGGCGCAGUGGUUUAGCGCCUGCCUUUGGCCCAGGGCGCGAUCCUGGAGACCCGGGAUCGAGUCCCACGUCAGGCUCCCGGUGCAUGGAGCCUGCUUCUCCC